rnacentral:rRNA from 1 species
GACGAACGCUGGCGGCGUGCCUAAUACAUGCAAGUAGAACGCACAGUUUAUACCGUAGCUUGCUACACCAUAAACUGUGAGUUGCGAACGGGUGAGUAACGCGUAGGUAACCUGCCUGGUAGCGGGGGAUAACUAUUGGAAACGAUAGCUAAUACCGCAUAAUAUUAAUUAUUGCAUGAUAAUUGAUUGAAAGAUGCAAUUGCAUCACUACCAGAUGGACCUGCGUUGUAUUAGCUAGUAGGUGAGGUAACGGCUCACCUAGGCGACGAUACAUAGCCGACCUGAGAGGGUGAUCGGCCACACUGGGACUGAGACACGGCCCAGACUCCUACGGGAGGCAGCAGUAGGGAAUCUUCGGCAAUGGACGAAAGUCUGACCGAGCAACGCCGCGUGAGUGAAGAAGGUUUUCGGACCGUAAAGCUCUGUUGUAAGAGAAGAACGGGUGUGAGAGUGGAAAGUUCACACUGUGACGGUAUCUUACCAGAAAGGGACGGCUAACUACGUG